rnacentral:tRNA from 1 species
GCCCCCCUAGUAUAUCAAAUAUAGAUGACUUCCAAUCAUCAGAUUCUGGCUAACAACCCAGAGAGAGGCA